rnacentral:rRNA from 1 species
UACCCUUAGGACCGGGAUAACCCUGGGAAACUGGGGAUAAUACUGGAUAGGCAAUUUUUCCUGUAAUGGUUUUUUGUUUAAAUGUUUUUUCGCCUAAGGAUGGGUCUGCGGCCGAUUAGGUAGUUGGUUAGGUAAUGGCUUACCAAGCCGUUGAUCGGUACGGGUUGUGAGAGCAAGAGCCCGGAGAUGGAACCUGAGACAAGGUUCCAGGCCCUACGGGGUGCAGCAGGCGCGAAACCUCCGCAAUGUGAGAAAUCGCGACGGGGGGAUCCCAAGUGCCAUUCUUAACGGGAUGGCUUUUCAUUAGUGUAAAGAGCUUUUGGAAUAAGAGCUGGGCAAGACCGGUGCCAGCCGCCGCGGUAACACCGGCAGCUCUAGUGGUAGCAAUUUUU